UAAUGCUAAAAAAUAUUUUACAUACAUUAUGGGACGGAGGGAAUAUAUUAUUGGAGACUUUAUCGCUGGAAAAAAAUUGUAGUUUCGCUAUGGUUUCACUAUGGCCAUCUUGAACUUGCAUGUCUUAUUUAUUGUGCCAUGAAGGAAAAUGGUAACUCUGCGUAUACCCAUGUUAAAAAAUCUGGCUCUGCGCCACAGACAACCAGUCGCUUUGUACGUCAAUAAUGGCGUUAGGUGUAGCUGUUGAAUCCCAAUAAGCUAGUGCUCAAUCAUUGUUUACGUUAGAUAGAUCAAGAUUUUGCUUGGCCGCUCUGGAGAGGAAGCAAGAGGCCAGCUGGGAGUGAAGCAAAGGAGGACAGAUUGUACUCCUCUUGGGUAAGCUGGAUGGAUCUAGUGGGCAGCGUCGCCCAGAUCGUCAAAAUUGCCCUCCAGAUACAGGAGCUGGUGGAGACGGCUUACCAGAACAAGGAGGACUGCAAGAAGAUCGCCAAACGCGUGGGGAGGCUUCGCGCAAUCGUGGAACGCCUCAACAGCACGGAUGUCACCAGUGAGAAAACCAUGAUCGACGCGCUCAACGACCUGGAGGAGACGUUCCUUCAGGCCCUCAAGCUCGUCAAGGCCUGCCAGACCAAGAACAAAGUGUGGCUCUUCCUCAGGGCCGGGAACGUUUCCAAACAGCUGCGUGAGGUCAAGGACGAGAUGAUGGACCAUAUGCACAUUGCCAACUUCGGCAACUGCGCCCAGCAAACUGUUAUUAUCACCGAAGCAUUUAUUAGAGAUCCCGCGGUGAAUCCAAAGAAAUAUUUCAAAGUUCUGUCGAUGCAAGGGGAGCAAGAAAUGCAGGUGGUUGGUAGCCGCUUGGUAUGCCAGGACACAGAUAUUCGUAUUGCUGAGGGCGAUCAGCUGGAGGACGAACAUGCCAGUUACCCAAACGAUGUUACAAGAUCUGAAAUUCAUGGUGAGAAAGAAAGUUUUCCAGCAGGAAGCUUGGAGGAUACUAUAUCCCAAUUCAGAAAUUUCAGUUCAUCGGAACUGAAGGCGGUUACAAAAAACUUUUCAAAUCAACAUGUGAUUGGCAAAGGUGGUUCUGCUGUCGUUUACAAGGGUGUAUUGGCCGAUGGAGCAGUGGUUGCCAUCAAGAGUUUCUGUGUGGAUGCUUCGCAACAUGAACACGUAGUGCGUUACGCUGAAGUUUUCUCAGUGCUACGACAGCAUGAGAAUGUAGUUAAAUUUCUGGGAUACUGCCAAGAAACAAAGAUUCAAAUGGUUCCAAUCGAAGGCAAAUGUGUGGCUGCUGAAAGGCGUCAUAUGUUGGUGGUGGAAGAGUACAUGCCCAACGGAAGCUUGUCCGACAUUAUCGAUGGGUCAUCGCGGCAGCUGGAUUGGACCUCUGCAUUUCGAAUCAUUCGAGGCAUUGCACAGGGCGUAGCUCACAUCCACACCAAAGGCGCUGUCCACUUGGAUCUGAAACCAGCCAACAUCCUCUUGGAUUCAGACAUGAACCCUAAGAUCUGUGACUUUGAGAGGUCUAAAAUACUGAAUCAAAAGGAUGAAGAUGUCGCUGAGAGAGUGACACAAGAGUUGGCGGGAACACUGGGCUAUUUACCUCCGGAGUAUAUUGCAGAUGGUAUUUUUUCGUUUAAACAUGAUGUCUUCAGCUUCGGCAUUCUCCUCCUCCAUACCAUUAGCAAGUCAGGACUUCUGCAAGAUUCAACUGAUUGGUACGAUGACAUAUUUCUCAGAUUCCGAAUGCACUUAAAGGAGAAGAUGACGUGGAUAGCUUAUUAGGUCCAUCAUCGCGUGACGAGUCCGAGCUAAAGGAAAUAAAAAGAUGUAUGGACAUAGGGCUGCAGUGCACCGUGAAGGAGCGGACAGACAGACCCACCAUGUGGGAUGUUAUUGACAUGCUAGACGGAAAGGAACAGCUCCCAAAGCCCGCCCUGAGGAAUAAGGUUUCGUCGUUUAAGAAGAAAGGCAAGACAUGAUCUCCCAAAAGUGCACAAUAGGCUAACUCUAGUUGGGUAAAGAUGGGACAUGUGGCUGCAUUUAGUUUGAAGGUCGAUGACAACCACCUUAUCUAAUGAGCCUGAUUCAUUCGGAUGGACCCUAUUUGCUUCAGACGUGUUUUCCGUUAAUUUCAUGUAAGUGGACUUGAUUAAUUCUGGACCGGUUCUCUGGCCAUGCAUCGAGCUAGCUCUUUAUGAAGUACAAUACUGGGGCUGGUUCCCCUAAAUAUCCAUUUCAAGUGAGCUCUGGUUGGAAAAGGAUGGGAUGCGUGACUGCAUUUAGUUUGAAAGUUGAUGACGAUCACACCUUAUCUAAUAAGUCCGAUUCAUUUCGA